rnacentral:rRNA from 1 species
GACGAACGCUGGCGGCGUGCCUAAUACAUGCAAGUAGAACGCUGAAGGAGGGGCUUGCUUCUCUGGAUGAGUUGCGAACGGGUGAGUAACGCGUAGGUAACCUGCCUGGUAGCGGGGGAUAACUAUUGGAAACGAUAGCUAAUACCGCAUAAUAGCAGUUGUUGCAUGACAACUGUUUGAAAGGUGCAAUUGCACCACUACCAGAUGGACCUGCGUUGUAUUAGCUAGUUGGUGGGGUAACGGCUCACCAAGGCGACGAUACAUAGCCGACCUGAGAGGGUGAUCGGCCACACUGGGACUGAGACACGGCCCAGACUCCUACGGGAGGCAGCAGUAGGGAAUCUUCGGCAAUGGACGGAAGUCUGACCGAGCAACGCCGCGUGAGUGGAGAAGGUUUUCGGAUCGUAAAGCUCUGUUGUAAGAGAAGAACGAGUGUGAGAGUGGAAAGUUCACACUGUGACGGUAGCUUACCAGAAAGGGACGGCUAACUACGUG